rnacentral:rRNA from 4 species
GUUAAGUAGACCGCCUGGGGAGUACGGCCGCAAGGUUAAAACUCAAAUGAAUUGACGGGGGCCCGCACAAGCGGUGGAGCAUGUGGUUUAAUUCGAUGCAACGCGAAGAACCUUACCUGGUCUUGACAUCCACAGAACUUUCCAGAGAUGGAUUGGUGCCUUCGGGAACUGUGAGACAGGUGCUGCAUGGCUGUCGUCAGCUCGUGUUGUGAAAUGUUGGGUUAAGUCCCGCAACGAGCGCAACCCUUAUCCUUUGUUGCCAGCGAUUAGGUCGGGAACUCAAAGGAGACUGCCAGUGAUAAACUGGAGGAAGGUGGGGAUGACGUCAAGUCAUCAUGGCCCUUACGACCAGGGCUACACACGUGCUACAAUGGCGCAUACAAAGAGAAGCGACCUCGCGAGAGCAAGCGGACCUCAUAAAGUGCGUCGUAGUCCGGAUUGGAGUCUGCAACUCGACUCCAUGAAGUCGGAAUCGCUAGUAAUCGUGGAUCAGAAUGCCACGGUGAAUACGUUCCCGGGCCUUGUACACACCGCCCGUCACACCAUGGGAGUGGGUUGCAAAAGAAGUAGGUAGCUUAACCUUCGGGAGGGCGCUUACCACUUUGUGAUUCAUGACUGGGGUGAAGUCGUAACAAGGUAACCGUAGGGGAACCUGCGGUUGGA